rnacentral:snRNA from 1 species
AUGGCUGACGUGGGUCAAAGUGUAGUAUCUGUUCUCAUCAGCUUCAUAUCUGAUACGGGUUCUAUUUGGACCCAAGAUAUUAAACUUAUUUUUGCAAGUUGGCGGACUGCUUGAAGCAUACUUUACCUCCGCCGUGGUUCAGCCCGGUAUUGCACUAUCUUCGGGAUUUUUGGUUUACGGACA